UGGGUCUCGGGCCAUUUUGGAGAAUUCAAGAAUCAACUCUCGAAACUUUGGGCGGCUAUCUGCAUCUAUCAUCCAGCCUGAGAAAGAAGCUAAUAAAAUCUGACGUAUCUGCUUGUGUGAGGGAAAAUGUUCAAGACAACCUGAAUUUGUGUUCCUGCGUGAUGGCCACUCACGUCUGGCUCAGAAUGAAGCAUCCCCGUUUGCCUAUGAGGUAACCUCAUGGUUCACCCUGGCUAAGCCACUCUCUUUGACUCAGAGAGUUUAAAUCAAGCACCACAUGAAACAACAGUCUUGGCCAUUUCAUAAGAAAACAUUAUUUCUCUGUCAGGAAUGCUUCCCCCAUGAAACCUCAUCGGCUGUCUUCCUUUGACUCAUGUCAGGUUCACAACAUGAGCUUCUGUUUGUUUGACCUCUGCAGGCAGAAGCUUAACCCACAUUUGGGUCCUCUUCCCCACCCCCACGACCUUUCCUGCAGCGUGAGCUCACAGCUGUCUCUAGUGAUACUUGGUGUGGUACUUCAGCUUCGCUUCCUUUGUCAGAUUCUCUUAGUUCAGUCGAUGGGCACGCUCACUGUCUUGCAAGGUAACACGUGCGUGUCAGAGCAUAUAAUGUUAAUUAACAAAUAAUACGAGCCGGCUUAGCCUCAGUACAAAUUCAUUAGCGUCAGAGUUUUGACUCACCAUAGCUCCAGACAUCGCUUUGGUGUGUAUAAAUUCGGUGUAAAAUUGAUUCCAAAGCCAUCCACUUGAUAGGCACCUUGGGACGAUGUGAGAUGGGAGAGAAAGCAGCAGGAAGACUAUUAGCGUAGAGCUAAAACAUUUUGUCACUCUAGGUGGAAUCACAGUUGACUAAUGAGGAAAAUCAAGUGACCUUCCCUUCAUGCUUCAGGUCAGUGCUCCCUCUCCGUAGGGGGCGUUUAAAUUUACCAGGUGGGUCUCCACGAAAGCUGCAGCCAAGAACAUUUUGGGCAAUGGACUGUUUUUGAUGAACUGAGGCUGUGGUAU